rnacentral:rRNA from 1 species
UACGGAGGGUGCAAGCGUUAAUCGGAAUUACUGGGCGUAAAGCGUGCGUAGGUGGUUCGUUAAGUCCGUUGUGAAAGCCCCGAGCUCAACUUGGGAAUUGCAGUGGAUACUGGCGAGCUAGAGUGCGGUAGAGGAAGGUGGAAUUCCCGGUGUAGCGGUGAAAUUCGUAGAUAUCGGGAGGAACACCUGUGGCGAAAGCGGCUCACUGGACCACAACUGACGCUGAGGCGCGAAAGCUAGGGGAGCAAACAGG